AGAGUUUGAUCCUGGCUCAGGAUGAACGCUGGCGGCGUGCUUAACACAUGCAAGUCGAACGAACCUUCGGGUUAGUGGCGGACGGGUGAGUAACGCGUGAGAAUCUGCCCUCAGGAGGGGGAUAACGGCUGGAAACGGCCGCUAAUACCCCAUAUGCCGCGAGGUGAAAUGAAUUUCGCCUGAGGACGAGCUCGCGUCUGAUUAGCUAGUUGGUGGGGUAAAGGCCUACCAAGGCAUCGAUCAGUAGCUGGUCUGAGAGGAUGAUCAGCCACACUGGGACUGAGACACGGCCCAGACUCCUACGGGAGGCAGCAGUGGGGAAUUUUCCGCAAUGGGCGAAAGCCUGACGGAGCAACGCCGCGUGAGGGAUGAAGGCCUCUGGGCUGUAAACCUCUUUUAUCAAGGAAGAAGAUCUGACGGUACUUGAUGAAUAAGCCACGGCUAAUUCCGUGCCAGCAGCCGCGGUAAUACGGGAGUGGCAAGCGUUAUCCGGAAUUAUUGGGCGUAAAGCGUCCGCAGGCGGCCCUUCAAGUCUGCUGUUAAAAAGUGGAGCUUAACUCCAUCAUGGCAGUGGAAACUGUUGGGCUUGAGUGUGGUAGGGGCAGAGGGAAUUCCCGGUGUAGCGGUGAAAUGCGUAGAUAUCGGGAAGAACACCAGUGGCGAAGGCGCUCUGCUGGGCCAUCACUGACGCUCAUGGACGAAAGCCAGGGGAGCGAAAGGGAUUAGAUACCCCUGUAGUCCUGGCCGUAAACGAUGAACACUAGGUGUCGGGGGAAUCGACCCCCUCGGUGUCGUAGCCAACGCGUUAAGUGUUCCGCCUGGGGAGUACGCACGCAAGUGUGAAACUCAAAGGAAUUGACGGGGGCCCGCACAAGCGGUGGAGUAUGUGGUUUAAUUCGAUGCAACGCGAAGAACCUUACCAGGGUUUGACAUCCUGCGAAUCUCUUGGAAACGAGAGAGUGCCUUCGGGAGCGCAGUGACAGGUGGUGCAUGGCUGUCGUCAGCUCGUGUCGUGAGAUGUUGGGUUAAGUCCCGCAACGAGCGCAACCCACGUCUUUAGUUGCCAGCAUUCAGUUGGGCACUCUAGAGAGACCGCCGGUGAUAAACCGGAGGAAGGUGUGGAUGACGUCAAGUCAUCAUGCCCCUUACAUCCUGGGCUACACACGUACUACAAUGCUACGGACAAAGGGCAGCAAGUUCGCGAGGACAAGCAAAUCCCAUAAACCGUGGCUCAGUUCAGAUCGUAGGCUGCAACUCGCCUACGUGAAGGAGGAAUCGCUAGUAAUCGCAGGUCAGCAUACUGCGGUGAAUACGUUCCCGGGCCUUGUACACACCGCCCGUCACACCAUGGAAGUUGGCCACGCCCGAAGCCGUUACUCCAACCCUUGUGGAGGAGGACGUCGAAGGUGGGGCUGAUGACUGGGGUGAAGUCGUAACAAGGUAACC
rnacentral:rRNA from 1 species